GUCACCCUCUCGUUGCGCACAGCAUACACGUGCGUGUCUGCUGUGCUCGACGCGCAGGAAGCGGAUUCUCAGCCGACGUCGACGGCUGCCUCAUCGGCAGCGCACGCUUCAUCGCACCGGACCGCAGCAGCCUCGACAGCUGGCUGUAUCAGCGGCUGAAACCUGAUGGUCACGAGCGCCAAAGCCGAGCCACCCAUGAAGAAGCCCAGGCUCGACCCAGAGAAGAGCGCAGCGGCGCCCUGCAAUUCUGAGGCAGCGACAACGGCAGCUGCCGCAGUCGACUUCGAUGUCAUUCCCACAAGCAAUGCCCUUCUGAGUGCGCGACUCCAAAGAGAACUGAAAUCCUUAUGGAGUGCGAGUGCUCCUGCCACAGCGGCGCCUUCAGACACCGGCGGGCCGUCGAUGGAUCACGGCACACCACCCAAGCCCGCUGAUGUGGCCUCCGUUGUGCCGUCCUUCAAGGUCGGCACGCUUGAGAUGUACCGCCGCUUCCCGGAGGCCUACGAUAUGCUCAUGGCCCACCACAACUGCACUGCCGUGCGCCACACACUGCUGAAGGACGUGCUGGGCCGCAUUGCUCGUACGGCAGGUGCAGCAGUCGUACCAGCGGAUGCUGCCGCGGACGCUGCGGGGCAGCGCACGCCGCCGUGGGUGCGCGUGGCAGACUUUGGGUGCGGCACAGGACGCAUCGAAAGCAUGGUGGCGCAGCACCCCGCCGUUCAGGCCAUCUACGCGUACGACAGCGAGGUGUCGAUGCUGCGGCGCUGUCUGGUAAACACUGUGCGGAGUGCUGCUCAGUCCGGGCACUACCGCUCCGUGAGUCUCCUACCCGUGGCCGCGUCGGCAGAGAAGAGAAGCGAAAUCAACGCUGCCAGCUCCCCCUCGCACGCGCUGCCGUCACCGCCUGCGUUGCUGUGCGGUGGGGACGAGAGCGAGGCGACGAAAUCGGCAGCAGCAGCAGCGUUACAGUUGUGCAUCCGUCCUGUACCGUUCCGGGCAAUUCAGGCAGGCUUUCUCACGCAGACACGACACCCCCGCUGCUCCCUCGUUGUUUGCGCGUGGUCUCUCUCCUACGUUAUGCGAAUGCAGUGGGGCGAGGAUCACUGGCACGCCGCCGUAGACACGGUUGUGCAGUCACUGCUGAACCUGCUCGACAACACGCGCUCGGAUGCGGCGGUGGUCAUACUAGAGACCCUGGGCAACGGCUCUGCAGAGCCGACGCGGCAGAGCACGUACACGCAGCGGCUGGAAGAGUGCUUCGGGUUCACACGGACGUGGGUGCGCACGGACUACGAGUUCAAGAGUAAGGCCGACGCGGAACGCAUGGUGCGCUUCUUCUUUGGCGAAAAGAUGCUGGCGAAGCUCACCUCAGAAAACGUUGGUAGUGGAGCAGGCGAGCAUGGCGCCACUGACGGCGCGGAGAGUGGUGGUGGUUGUCGCCUCAUGGAGUGCACAGGCAUUUGGACUUACUGGAAGGCGCGAGAGUCGCCAACGGAGCCGUUCAGGGAGUCACUGGAAUUGUCUCGCUCGUGGCUGGCACACAGACACACACAGACACACACGUAGCGCAGCUCUCCCCUGCCCCGUAUGAGAGCUCUCGAGUAACGCGUCUCUGGAGCACGUGCUAGCAAACGUUCGCACUCGCAACAGCCACACCUCGACGCGCACUAAACCCCCCUCUCACCGCCGCCUAUCCCGUUACCCCCCCCCCUUCACAAACUUCGCG
rnacentral:misc_RNA from 1 species